UACGUAGGGACCAAGCGUUGUUCGGAUUUACUGGGCGUAAAGGGCGCGUAGGCGGUCAGCACAAGUCAGUUGUGAAAUCUCCGAGCUUAACUCGGAAAGGUCAACUGAUACUGUGCGACUAGAGUGCGGAAGGGGCAACUGGAAUUCUUGGUGUAGCGGUGAAAUGCGUAGAUAUCAAGAGGAACACCUGCGGCGAAGGCGGGUUGCUGGGCCGACACUGACGCUGAGGCGCGAAAGCCAGGGGAGCAAACGGG
rnacentral:rRNA from 1 species